UCAAGUCAUCAUGGCCCUUAUGUCCGGGGCGACACACGUGCUACAAUGGCAUAUACAAUGAGAAGCAAUAUCGCGAGAUGGAGCAAAUCUAUAAAAUAUGUCCCAGUUCGGAUUGGAGUCUGCAACUCGACUCCAUGAAGCCGGAAUCGCUAGUAAUCGUAGAUCAGCCAUGCUACGGUGAAUACGUUCCCGGGUCUUGUACUCACCGCCCGUCACACCAUGGAGUUGAUUUCACUCGAAGCCGGAAUACUAAAUUAGUUACCGUCCACAGUGGAAUCAGCGACUGGGGUGAAGUCGUAACAAGGUAACCGUAGGAGAACCUGCGGUUGGAUCACCUCCUUU
rnacentral:rRNA from 1 species